ensembl:lncRNA
GGGGGGGGGACAUGCUCGCGAUGAACCACGUAAGUCAUUCUCUGUUAUUAUAGGAAGACAGCGACACAACGCUGCGCACGUUGCGUAAUGCCACCACAACCGCUCGCGCGCAGCGUGAACAGGUCGUAUUCAAAGCACAGAGUCGAUUACGUAACAAAGUAAAAAGUAAUGAAGGAAAUCCUUCUUUUUUUUUUAAAGUCACGCAUUUGGAGGCGAACAUUAAACAUGGGGAGAAGGCGUUGAUGAAACGGGGUUAGGCACACUCUUCUUCUUCUUCUUCUUCUUCUUCUUGUUCAUCGACGACAUGACAACAGGUAAAUUCAACUGCGUCAGCGGACGAGCCACAUGGGGACCUGCGGGAAUUUCCGCCUGCGCGUGCUGCGGCUGAAAUGCGAUGCGUUGUGCCACCGCGGCGAUGGUAAAACGAAGACGUAAACAACGCGCGGAGCGGAUGGCGUGCGACGGGAGAAGUGGGAAUAGGAUGCUGCGCAGCAGACGGGUGGUGCGUAAUUCUGUUGUUGUGAGCGCAGGAGGAUGUUACGCAGUCGCUAUCGGCACCGUCAUUCAACACCUCACGCUGUUGUCUUCUUGUACCAUCAGUGAUUUUAUAAGUAUAGAUACACAUUUCAACGACAGGGCAAUUCAAAUGGCUUAAAACCAACGACUGACACGCGGUAGACAAUAAAAGGAACGCACGAUAAAGAGGCUUCCCGCUCGUGGUCACGCACUUUGGCGCACGCGAGGCUGUUCUGUUGUUUUGCGAAAACCGUAAAAUAAAAAAUAAAAAAAGCCGAAACGUUCACUUCGCGGGUGAGAAAAAGUCACUGGUGACGCAGCUUGUUUUUUUCCCUCAGAUGUCAAACAACAAUCCGCUGCGUCACGAAAGACACCACUAGGUCCUUAAUAGUAAUCUGGCUUUUUAGUGCGCACUUGUUAUGAUGAAAACGAGCUCUGUUUCAGGACCGCGGGGGGCGCUGCUGAGUAACAACCUGUGGGGCUGUGGUCAUCUGCUGGGAAGGGAUGUCGACGCACAGACCUUGUGACGCACACCUGUCACCUUGCCGUCGACAACCGCCCGGCCUCUCCAGCCCUCCCCGAAGACAGAGAGAGAGUUUCAGAACUUUGAUGAUGCGUACGGAAUCCCGAGGGAAUGUCACUACGGGGGUUAAAGGUCAAGGCAGGGAGUGGGGGGGGGGCUCGCAGCAGCAGCAGCAGCUCCCCCUUCUGCUGGCCGAACACCUGAACUUCAUGUCAGACGCUUACAAGAACGUCUUGUGCGUCGUGUCCUCUGCAGUCGGGGUGUUUACAAAUGACUCACGAGGCUGACCAGUGGAACGAGUGACCCACUUCCACGGGCAGCAAGAAACGUGACCUCAAUAGUUAUUUUGCCAGUGUUUUAGGGAGGGGGGAGGGGGGGGGGGCGUUGCUUCUCGAAUCUAGUUUAAUAAAUACCUUUACGGAUCCGUUCUCUCUUCCCGAGAGAGUGCGUCGCUUGUGGCCCCUGUGACAAACUUUUUUCUUCUUCUUCUUCAAAAUCCCAUCGCUCCCACACCGGGAUGAUACAAUGGGAGCUGGCGAGGAGCCAAGAGAUGACGGUGCUAAAAUUAAACCCGCUGCGCCGCCGGCCUCGCAGGAUGAUGAUGAUGGCGAUGUAUUAAUAGACACGUGUGAGGCGGCGUUGGUUCGCGGGUAUCAUUAGCAGCCCGACGCCCUAUGAGCUGCAAUAGGAGGCGGAACCGGGGA